rnacentral:rRNA from 1 species
CAGCAGCCACGGGAAUACGGAGGGUGCAAGCGUUAAUCGGAAUUACUGGGCGUAAAGCGCACGCAGGCGGUCUGUCAAGUCAGAUGUGAAAUCCCCGGGCUUAACCUGGGAACUGCAUUUGAAACUGGCAGGCUAGAGUCUUGUAGAGGGGGGUAGAAUUCCAGGUGUAGCGGUGAAAUGCGUAGAGAUCUGGAGGAAUACCGGUGGCGAAGGCGGCCCCCUGGACAAAGACUGACGCUCAGGUGCGAAAGCGUGGGGAGCAAACAGGAUUAGAUACCCGGGUAGUCCCUGUCUCUUAUAA